AGCGGCAUAGGUGACAUAUUUUGGCAUAGGUGACUAUCGUUGUCAAGGGAGAAAGGACUGUCUAAUGCUAGAGACUUGGAGCGACGUUUUCGUGUUUUGGCGGGUGUGGGUUCGUGAACGAAGAGUCUACGUUGAAGACUUUCAACGUCUUCCCUCUCGGCUCUAACUUU